rnacentral:rRNA from 1 species
AUUGAACGCUGGCGGCAUGCCUUACACAUGCAAGUCGAACGGCAGCACGGGUGCUUGCCCCUGGUGGCGAGUGGCGAACGGGUGAGUAAUACAUCGGAACAUGUCCUGUAGUGGGGGAUAGCCCGGCGAAAGCCGGAUUAAUACCGCAUACGAUCCACGGAUGAAAGCGGGGGACCUUCGGGCCUCGCGCUAUAGGGUUGGCCGAUGGCUGAUUAGCUAGUUGGUGGGGUAAAGGCCUACCAAGGCGACGAUCAGUAGCUGGUCUGAGAGGACGACCAGCCACACUGGGACUGAGACACGACCCAGACUCCUACGGGAGGCAGCAGUGGGGAAUUUUGGACAAUGGGCGAAAGCCUGAUCCAGCAAUGCCGCGUGUGUGAAGAAGGCCUUCGGGUUGUAAAGCACUUUUGUCCGGAAAGAAAUCCUUGGCUCUAAUACAGUCGGGGGAUGACGGUACCGGAAGAAUAAGCACCGGCUAACUACGUG